rnacentral:rRNA from 1 species
UACGGAGGGUGCAAGCGUUAUCCGGAUUCACUGGGCUUAAAGGGUGCGUAGGCGGCUUUGUAAGUCAGUGGUGAAAUACGGUAGCUUAACUAUCGAGGUGCCAUUGAUACUGCAGAGCUUGAGUACAGAUGAGGUAGGCGGAAUUGACGGUGUAGCGGUGAAAUGCUUAGAUAUCGUCAAGAACACCUAUAGCGAAGGCAGCUUACUAGGCUGUAACUGACGCUGAGGCACGAAAGUGUGGGGAUCAAACAGG